CGAGCAAGGUGUUUUAGAGAGAGAGCAAAAUGCGACCCGAAUGAAGCAGCAGAAAGGCCCAGGUGUGUACUGGUAAAGGCACGAUGGAGGGGCGCGGGGUGGAAUAAGUCAGGUGAAAGAAAAGUCCAACAAAAAAGGCUCCUGACGGAGAAGGCGCCCGGUGGUAGCCGGGCGCAGCCUGUUCAACGUCUUUCAACCCCUCAAGCCCGGCUUGUGUGAUGGCGCCGUCCGGCCCCCUCUUUCGGGGGCGGGACGCGCCCGAAAAGCAGUGGCCAGGCCGCGUUCCGGCUUCCUGGGCGAUGGGCAGUCAACCACGCCCUCGGUCCGGCCGCUCGGCCUUCCCCCAAUCUCUCUA
rnacentral:misc_RNA from 1 species